AAAGGAGCAGAUUUCUGGGCGCGGAAGUAUAGAUUCAAGGCAUAAUGUACAGACAAGGGUAUGGUAGGAUGUGAGUACAGUGGAGAUAAACCUAGGCAUUGAGUGAGGAUGAGCGAGGUUUUGUCUCUAGAGGCACCAUUUAAGCCAGGUGAGGUCACCGCAUGUGUUGGGGGUGGAACAAAACGGCUAGCUAAGGCAUAUUGAGCAGUGCUGGAGGCUCUACUGUGAAAUAAGACAAUCACUAAAAAAAACGGCAGUAGACAAGGCAUAUUGACAUUAGGGAGAGGCAUGUGUAGCCGAGUGAUCAUAGGGUCCAGUGACUAGCUAGGCGAGCUGUAGACACGGCAAUUCAGACAGCUAGCAGGUGGGCCUCAGGGGGACGUUGCAACGGAAGAGCCUGUUGAAACCCCCUCGGGCAGUAAUGUCGGCAGACCGGUUGUGAUGGAUCGGCGUUGCUCUGUGAUGGCAGCAAAGGGUCCAGGCCAAUUGGCAAAAGAGGGUUUGUGUCCCCUCCCUCCGGUCCUCCCAUGUGAAUACACCCGAGGCCUGUAAGCAUCCCAGACUGGACAUUAGCAGGACUGAUGGCAUGGCAGAGAGACUCCCAGGGCCUCCUAAUCACACACAGAACAUUAUUGGCCCAUUUCUCAACUAUCCGUGAAAAGAAAAGCUAGCGUCAGCAUCAUUAUCGUUUGUCACUAACUCACCAGACUAAAGAGUGUGUGUGUGUGUGUGUGUGUAUCCACAGAUGACGCAAUCUUAAUUGCACUUCACACCGCCCUCUCCCACCUGGACAAGAGGGGAAUGAACUAUGUGAGGAUGCUGUUCAUAGACUACAGCUCAGCGUUCAACACCAUAGUCCCCUCCAAGCUCAUCACCAAGCUGGGGACCCUGGUACUGAAUACCUCCCUCUGCAACUGAAUCCUGGACUUCCUGACGGGCCAGUCCCAGGUGAUGAGGGUAGGCAACAACACCUCCACCACGCUUUCCGUAUGCACUGUAUACACACUAUAUACACGCUCACUCACGCACACUACACUGUCACACAAAACCCACACGCAUACUGACACAACAUUUACACACAUACACAUACGUGCACAUACAGACACACACAUACACAC
rnacentral:lncRNA from 1 species